rnacentral:lncRNA from 1 species
AUAGUCCUCCUCCAUAGUAUACUGUCCUCCUCCAUAGGUACUGCUCCUCCCUCCAUAGGUACUGCUCCUCCCUCCAUAGGUACUGCUCCUCCCUCCAUAGGUACUGCUCCUCCCUCCAUAGGUACUGCUCCUCCAUCGUUACUGCUCCUCCAUAGUUACUGCUCCUCCUCUAGGUACUGUCCUCCCUCCAUAGGGUACCUCUCCACCAUAGUACUGCUCCUCAUAGGUUACUGCUCCUCCUCCAUUAGGUACUGCUCCUCCUCAUAGUUACUGCUCCCUCCACAUAGUUUAUGCUCCCAUAGGACUGCUCCUCCUCCAUAGGGUACCGCUUCCCCAUAGUACUGCUCCUCCAUAGGUUACUGCUCCCUCCAUAGGUACUGCUCCUCCCUCCAUAGGUACCGCUCCUCUCCAUAGUUACUGCUCCUCCAGGUUACUGCUCCUCCAUAGUUACUGCUCCUCCAUAGUUACUGCUCAUCCGCUCCAUAGGGUACCCGCUCCUCCUAGGUACUGCUCCUCCCUAGGUACUGCUCCCUCCCUCC